UAGGGAAUCUUCGGCAAUGGACGGAAGUCUGACCGAGCAACGCCGCGUGAGUGAAGAAGGUUUUCGGAUCGUAAAGCUCUGUUGUAAGGGAAGAACGAGUGUGAGAGUGGAAAGUUCACACUGUGACGGUAUCUUACCAGAAAGGGACGGCUAACUACGUGCCAGCAGCCGCGGUAAUACGUAGGUCCCGAGCGUUGUCCGGAUUUAUUGGGCGUAAAGCGAGCGCAGGCGGUUAGAUAAGUCUGAAGUUAAAGGCUGUGGCUUAACCAUAGUAGGCUUUGGAAACUGUUUAACUUGAGUGCAAGAGGGGAGAGUGGAAUUCCAUGUGUAGCGGUGAAAUGCGUAGAUAUAUGGAGGAACACCGGCGGCGAAAGCGGCUCUCUGGCUUGUAACUGACGCUGAGGCUCGAAAGCGUGGGGAGCAAACAGGAUUAGAUACCCUGGUAGUCCACGCUGUAAACGAUGAGUGCUAGGUGUUAGACCCUUUCCGGGGUUUAGUGCCGUAGCUAACGCAUUAAGCACUCCGCCUGGGGAGUACGACCGCAAGGUUG
rnacentral:rRNA from 1 species